rnacentral:ncRNA from 1 species
UUAGUUGAUCCUACCAGUAGUCAUAUACUUGUUUCAAAGAUUAGGCCAUGAAUGUGCAAGUAUAAACUGCUUUAUAUUGUGAAAUUGUGAAUUGGCUUAUUAAAUCAAUAAUAGUUUAUUUGAUAAUACCUUACCACUUAGAUAACUAUAGUAAUUCUAUAACUAAUAUGUGUAAAGAGUCCUGACCUUUAGAAGGGAUGCACUUACUAGAUUCAAGACCAAUACAGGCUCACCUAUAUUCUCAAUGGUCCAUGAUAACUUGUUGAAUUAUAUAGCCCUUGUGCCAGUGAUACUUAAAUUAAAUUUCUACCCUAUCAACUUUCGAUAGUAGGAUAAAGGCCUACCAUAGUAGUGAUGGGUAACGGGGAAUUAGGGUUUGAUUUUGAGACACAGCUACCACAUCCAGAAAGGCAGCAGACGCACAAAUUAUCCAAUCCUAACAUUGGGAGGUAGUGACAAUAAAUAAUAAUACCAGGCUUUCAAAUUGGAAUGAGUACAAUAUAAAUUUCUUAAGUAAGAUUCAUUGGAGGGCAAGUCUAGUGCCAAUAGCUAUAGUAAUGCUAACUCUAUUAACAUGUUGUUACAAUUAAAAAGUUCAUUUGGAUCUUAGGACAAGAUGAAUGGUUUGCCCUUAGGGGCACUUGUCACCCCAUCCUAUGAGUCAAUGAUGCUAAUUUGAUAGGUGUGGAGUCAGUAAUGUUACUUUGAAAAAAUUAGAGUGCUUAAAGGAAACUUAUACUCUAAAUACAUUAGCAUGGAAUAAUGUAAUAGGACUUUGGUCCUGUUGUGUUAGUCUCCAAGAUAGAAGUAAUGAUUAAUAGGGACAAUUUGGGGCAUUUGUACUCCAUUGUUAGAGAUGAAAUUCUUAAGCAUUUGCUGAGGAUGUUUUUAUUAAUCAAAAAUGAAAGUUGGGAGCUCAAAUAUGAUUAGAUACCAUUUUAGUCUUAACCAUAAAUGAUGAUAAUUAGGGAUUGGUAAAUGUUAUUUGGAUGACAUUGCCAUCACCUCAUGAGAAAUCAAAGUCUUUGGGUUCCA